rnacentral:misc_RNA from 1 species
UGGUUCUGGCAUCGAUGAAGAACGCAGCGAAAUGCGAUAAGUAAUGUGAAUUGCAGAAUUCAGUGAAUCAUCGAAUCUUUGAACGCACAUUGCGCCCGCCAGUAUUCUGGCGGGCAUGCCUGUUCGAGCGUCAUUUCAACCCUCAAGCCCAGCUUGGUGUUGGGGAUCGGCAAGGCGUCCUCCGGGUCGCGCCGUCCCCCAAAUAUAGUGGCGGUCUCGCUGUAGCUUCCUCUGCGUAGUAAUACACCUCGCUCUGGAGUCUCGGUGCGGCCACGCCGUAAAACCCCCAACUUUUUCUGGUUGACCUCGAAUCAGGUAGGACUACCCGCUGA